CUAAUACCGCAUAACACUUACGAGUCAAAGCAGCAAUGCGCUUGGAGAGGAGUUCGCGGCCGAUUAGUUAGUUGGCAGGGUAAUGGCCUACCAAGACGAUGAUCGGUAUCCGGCCUGAGAGGGCGCACGGACACACUGGAACUGAAACACGGUCCAGACUCCUACGGGAGGCAGCAGUGGGGAAUUUUGCGCAAUGGGGGAAACCCUGACGCAGCAACGCCGCGUGGAGGAUGAAAUCCCUUGGGAUGUAAACUCCUUUCGAUGGGGAAGAUUAUGACGGUACCCAUAGAAGAAGCCCCGGCUAACUUCGUGCCAGCAGCCGCGGUAAUACGAGGGGGGCAAGCGUUGUUCGGAAUUAUUGGGCGUAAAGGGUGCGUAGGCGGUUUGACAAGUCUGAUGUGAAAUCUAUGGGCUCAACCCAUAGUCUGCAUCGGAAACUGUCGGGCUUGAGUAUGGGAGAGGUGAGUGGAAUUUCCGGUGUAGCGGUGAAAUGCGUAGAUAUCGGAAGGAACACCUGUGGCGAAAGCGGCUCACUGGACCAUUACUGACGCUGAGGCACGAAAGCUAGGGGAGCAAACA
rnacentral:rRNA from 1 species